GCAUAACGCGAAGAACCUUACCAAGGCUUGACAUACACGAGAACGGGCCAGAAAUGGUCAACUCUUUGGACACUCGUGAACAGGUGGUGCAUGGUUGUCGUCAGCUCGUGUCGUGAGAUGUUGGGUUAAGUCCCGCAACGAGCGCAACCCUCGUUCUAUGUUGCCAGCACGUAAUGGUGGGAACUCAUGGGAUACUGCCGGGGUCAACUCGGAGGAAGGUGGGGAUGACGUCAAAUCAUCAUGCCCCUUAUGUCUUGGGCUUCACGCAUGCUACAAUGGCCGGUACAAUGGACUGCGAUACCGUAAGGUGGAGCGAAUCCCAAAAAGCCGGUCCCAGUUCGGAUUGAGGUCUGCAACUCGACCUCAUGAAGUCGGAGUCGCUAGUAAUCGCAGAUCAGCAACGCUGCGGUGAAUACGUUCCCGGGUCUUGUACACACCG
rnacentral:rRNA from 1 species